rfam:Lepisosteus oculatus linkage group LG28, whole genome shotgun sequence.
GGCUCCAUGACUCAGGGGUUAGAGCACUGGCCUUGUAAACCAGGGGUCGCAAGUUCAAAUCUCACUGGGGCCU